AGGCUCAUGGCUUUCCGUAGUGCUGGUUUUCACUGUUAUUGGUUUAUUUCUGUCUGGACUCAUAGGAUUCAUCUUUCUGUGCCGCUUUACCAGUUCUGCUGAUGUUCUCACAGAGGUGUACUACACCUCCUGCCAGAUAGAAACAACAUCUCUUUUAACCUCUUCUGAUUGCCCCUCAAAACAUGGAUGACCUGUUUACUUUCUUUUCCUUUCGCUAAAGUAUUAAAUCUUUAGUCUAAAUGUAUACAUUUCUUUAUUAAACUAUUGUAACACACAUUGCUUUUAACAUAUGAUGAGAUGAAUUCUAACAACAAAGUUGACAGCUGAACUGCAACAAUUUCAGAAAAUGAUCAUAGUGUCCUACUGGAUUUGUCUGUUUUUUUUUUGUUUUUUUGUUUUACUUUCAGAUCAAUGACCAUCUGAACUGCUUACUUUUAUCUGCAUGCUUUUAUGCAGUAGCUUACAUAUGAUUAUCUGAUUAUAUUUUUGCAUUAAAGGCAGGAAGUGUACCUAUAAGGGGACCACUGUGUCUAGCUGUGUGUAUGAAAUCAUUAACCUAUUCACUAUGGUAUGCAAUAAAAAUGAAGAUAAACCUAAA